rnacentral:sRNA from 1 species
GUAAGAGAUGGUGGUGACAGUGCGUUUCAUGCGGAAACCGGCCACCCAGAUCACGAGCCCGUUGCCCAAGACUCCAAGCACAAAGAGGUCCAAGAACGCCCGAGAUGUGACAUGCCUGACUUAUAUGCUGACAACUGGAUGCAGAACCUAUUUGACAGCAGCAAUCACUCUUAACAUCUUUCCAAGAAGUGUCUCUCCAGCCUCUUCUUGAGAUUUUCUUGGUGGAAAGACAUAAUAUUCUCUUUACCUGUGAGAUCUCUUCAAUAUGCUUUAAGAAUACAGAGAUCCAACAUUCUCCACAUCAGAGCAGAAGGAAUAUGGGAUAAGGAAGCUUCUAAUCAUAAGAAAAAGCAAGGAC